UACGAGGGACCUAGCGUUGUUCGGAAUCAUUGGGCGUAAAGGGUGUGUAGGCGGCCAUGUAAGUCAGUUGUGAAAGCCCCGGGCUCAACCCGGGAAGUGCUUCUGAUACUGCUUGGCUUGAGUAUUGGAUAGGUGAGUGGAAUUCCAGGUGUAGUGGUGAAAUACGUAGAUAUCUGGAGGAACACCGGCGGCGAAGGCGGCUCACUGGCCAUAUACUGACGCUGAAACACGAAAGCGUGGGUAGCAAACAGG
rnacentral:rRNA from 1 species